rnacentral:rRNA from 1 species
CCUACGGGAGGCAGCAGUGAGGAAUAUUGGUCAAUGGACGCAAGUCUGAACCAGCCAUGCCGCGUGCAGGAAGACGGCUCUAUGAGUUGUAAACUGCUUUUGUACGAGGGUAAACGCAGAUACGCGUAUCUGUCUGAAAGUAUCGUACGAAUAAGGAUCGGCUAAAUCCGUGCCAGCAGCCGCGGUAAUACGGAGGAUUCAAGCGUUAUCCGGAUUUAUUGGGUUUAAAGGGUGCGUAGGCGGUCGGAUAAGUUAGAGGUGAAAUCCCGAGGCUCAACUUCGGAAUUGCCUCUGAUACUGUUCGGCUAGAGAGUAGGUGCGGUAGGCGGAAUGUAUGGUGUAGCGGUGAAAUGCUUAGAGAUGAUACAGAACACCGAUUGCGAAGGCAGCUUACCAAGCUACUUCUGACGUUGAGGCACGAAAGCGUGGGGAGCGAACAGGAUUAGAUACCCUUGUAGUC